AUUGAACGCUGGCGGCAGGCCUAACACAUGCAAGUCGAGCGGUAACACAGAGGAGCUUGCUCCUUGGGUGACGAGCGGCGGACGGGUGAGUAAUGCCUGGGGAUCUGCCCGAUAGAGGGGGAUAACUACGGGAAACUGUAGCUAAUACCGCAUAACGUCUACGGACCAAAGUGGGGGCUCUUCGGACCUCAUGCUAUCGGAUGAACCCAGGUGGGAUUAGCUAGUUGGUGAGGUAAUGGCUCACAAAGGCGACGAUCUCUAACUGGUUUGAGAGAAUGACCAGUCACACUGGAACUGAGACCCGGUCCAGACUCCUACGGGACGCAGCAGUGGGGAAUAUUGCACAAUGGGCGCAAGCCUGACGCCGCCAUGCCGCGUGUGUGAAGAAGGCCUUCGGGUUGUAAAGCACUUUCAGCGGGGAGGAAGGGUCACUAGUUAAUACCUAGUGGCAUUGACGUUACUCGCAGAAGAAGCACCGGCUAACUCCGUGCCAGCCGCCGCGGUAA
rnacentral:rRNA from 1 species